rnacentral:lncRNA from 1 species
CCCUCCCUUUCUCCUCCGGGGCUUUGGAGUCGCCUCGCAGCAGCGAGCUGCGAGCGCCCUGCUCCAGUCCGGGCUUGGAACUGAACUGUGCGAGCGCAGGUCCUGGAACCCGGGCCCAGGCGCGGCCAGCCAGGUCUGAGGCCAGGGCGCCGCGCUCAGCCUCGGAGGCCCCGAUCGGGACGGAGCGGAGCGCGGAGCCGCAGAGCCGGCCAGCCGGGCGGGCGCAGCGUCCGGGCGAGUCCGGGCGCCGGACCGCGGAAGCCAGGAGACGGCCGCGAGCCCGGGGCAGAGGGCAGAGGGCAGCGAGCGGCCUGGCGUGGCGGAGGGCGCCGCCCGGCCGAAACCGAGAUCGCCGCCCGGGACGCCGGCCCUCGCGGGUGCGGGGGUGACCAGUCCCGGGAGACGGCGGGGGCGCGCCCCCUCCCAGCCCGCCGACCCGCGCCGCCCGCCCGUCUCCGGGGCAUGUGAGCGGGAAGCCGAGUGCCAGCCGCGAGGACCGCCCCGGGAGCAGCAGGAGCGCGGAGCCGCGAGCCCGGACCCAGCGCCCCGCAGAGUACAGCAGCACCAGCAGCAGCAGCAGCAGCGAUGUGGUAGUUUCUCCUGAGAAGACCCGUUUAUGUCCCAGGGCCCUGGUUGGAGGAGGCACUGGACACCCCAUCCAAAGCCUUAGAGCGGUGAAGCCCUUUCCAGCCCCCCUAGAGACAGGGCUCUGCUCCCACCCCUUGUGUCCACAGCUCAGAGCCUUGAAACUACCUCUUGCUACUCUGGCCAUAUUCUUGGCCAGGGCUUGGCAGGAGGCCCUUUCUACUUUUAGAAGACCGGCUCUGCUUCCAUGGCCUCAAGGCCCAUACGG